rnacentral:rRNA from 1 species
UGAUCCUGCCAGUAGUCAUAUGCUUGUCUCAAAGAUUAAGCCAUGCAUGUCUAAGUAUAAGCAAUUAUACAGCGAAACUGCGAAUGGCUCAUUAUAUAAGUUAUCGUUUAUUUGAUAGUGCCUUACUACUUGGAUAACCGUGGUAAUUCUAGAGCUAAUACAUGCGUUAAGAUGGGACUCUUCGGAACCAUCGUAUUUAUUAGAUACAGAACCAAUCCGCUCUGCGGUUUUGGAUGAUUCAUGGUAAAUGAACGGAGCGUAUAGCUUGUGCUGACGCUGUGCCAUUCAAGUUUCUGACCUAUCAGCUAUCGACGGUAGGGUAUUGGCCUACCGUGGCAUUGACGGGUAACGGAGAAUUAGGGUUCGAUUCCGGAGAGGGAGCCCGAGAAACGGCUACCACAUCUAAGGAAGGCAGCAGGCGCGCAAAUUACCCCAAUCCUGACACAGGGAGGUAGUGACAGAAAUACAAAGCAAGCCCUUAGGGGCGCUGCGUUGGAAUGAGUAGA